GUGAGCUGCCUGUGGAACUCGAGCCUCUUUGUAGGGACGUGUGGGUUGCCGCGUGCAUUUGCACUAAUAGGGGAGGUCCGUAGGGUUUGCCAGGUAGUGCAAGGAAUCUCAAGAGUCUGUGAAAUCUCAGGGGUCCGGGAAUCUGGACGGUGGGGUUCAGGUUUGUGAGGUUGAGCAGUUUCUGAAGCCUACGCUGUGGAGGCAGGUGUGGGUUCUGGGAUGGACAGUGGGAGUCAGAUCUGUUACCCAUUGAGGCAGGUCAGCGAAGAGGUCUGUGAAUUUUACGAGAUGAGUGUUGAUAUGGAGUUAGGAAGGCCUGCAAUUGCUGAAGAAAAGUGGGGCCUUUGCCUUGUACAGGUGUCGAAUGAACUGCAUGACAGUUACAUAUGUUCUGCAAUUUAAUUGGCGCUUGAGUCUCCUCUCUCCCAACCUCUCCUCAGGAGAUACAGUAAGGGAGGGCGACGCUUACCAGACACCGGUAGAUGGCAGCACAGGACACUUGCAGAACUGAGAGAACCCAGCUCAGCGCCAGUCUGUGGCCUCUCCGAGGAGCGGACGGCUUGAGUCUUGAUUUGAUCAAGUUCUCCAAAAGUCACAUUCUUUCUUUCUUUCUUUUGAGACGGAAUCUCGCUCUUUCGCCCAGGCUACAGUGCAGUGGCGUAAUCUCGGCUCACUGCAACUUCUGCCUCCUGGGUUCAAGCAAUUCUCCUACCUCAGCCUUCUGAGUAGCUGGGAUUACAGGCGUGCACCACCAGGCCAGGCUAAUUUUUUUGUAUUUUUAGUAGAGGGGUUUUCACCAUGUUGACCAGGAUGGUCUCGAUCUCUUGACCUCGUGAUCCACCCGCCUCGGCCUCCCAAAGUGCUGGGUUUACAGGCUUGAGCCACCGCACCCAGCCUAAACUUUUAUUUUUUAUAUUGUAGGGCUGAGUGCCCCACAGGGUUGUGGGGUGAGCCUUAUGCCGUGCUGAGGCACAGGAUCUGAGAAAUAAAGAGACAGGACACAGAAGUACAAGAAAAACGCAGCUGGGCUCCGGGGGCCACACCACCUAUAAGCAGAGUCAGGUGAGGCCCGGAAUGUCCAGAAGCGUGACUAUUUAUUGUGUAUAGGUUAGGGGGCAGGGCAGUGAAUGAAAUAAUCUUUAAGGAUAGUGAUAGGGUCUUGAGCAAUAAAACAUGGGGUCCACCCCCAUUAGGUCACCUAGGUCAGGAGGUGGACAGUGCACAGCAAGGGGCCCGUUCCCACGAACGCAAGGGCCGUGCGCAGUAAGGGGUCCACCCCCAUUAGGUCACCGAGGUUUGAAGGUGGGCCAUGCACAGUGUGCAAUACUUCUAUGGUCAAACUACUUCUAAGAAGAUUUAUAGGAGGAUGCUUUAAGUCACAAAGCAGUGACAGAGCUGUCAGGGUUACUGCCACCUUCUGGCAGCUUCCAAUGGGUUCUAUGGGAAGAUGCUUUUCAAGCAGUACAGUAGCAAGAGCUGGUAAAGUUCACAGACACCAAGGUGGAUUGCCGUUCUGAGGGCAGCCUUCCACAAGAACUGGAGCAAGGUCCUGCAACUCCUUUAUCAGGAGGUGUGGCUCUCGCCCAAGCCUGCCAUACAGCGGGUUUCUCUACGAUACUGAAUGCUGCUGCCUUGACCAUGGAUUCUUGUCCUGGUAUAACUGUUUUUCCCUUAAAUAAUGCUCUGCACUGUGUCUGCUCUUAGGCAUUCCUCUGAUUAUAAGCUGCUUAUUCCUUAAUUCGUGCUCUGUACUAUGUCCACUCUAGGCAUUCCUCUGAUUAUGAACUAAGAUAUAAUUAUGGGUAUAUAUGUAGGGAAAUAUUCUUUUUUCUUUUUGAGACGGAGUUUUGCUAUUGUUACCCAGACUGGAGUGCAAUGGCACGAUCUCGGCUCACUGCAACCUCCGCCUCCUGGGUUCAAGCAAUUCUCCUGCCUCAGCCUCCCGAGUAGCUGGGACUACAGGCGUGCACCACCAUGCCCAGCUAAUUUUUGUAUUUUUAGUAGAGACGGGGUUUCACCUUGUUGACCAGGAUGGUCUCGAUCUCUUGACCUCGUGAUCCACCUGCCUCAGCCUCCCAAAGUGCUGGGAUUAUAGGCAUGAGCCACUGCGCCCAGCUCGGGAAAUAUUCUUUAGGCACUCAUACUAUCAAUUAUUAUAUGAUUAUAUAGAGAGGAUUAUAUAAAGGGAUUCAUCAAGCCCUAUUUCUAUAAACUAAUAUAGGAUUAUAUAAAAGGAAAUAGCUGAGUAGUAACACUAUAAAGUGAGAUAUUCCUCAAGCCCUAACUGUGCGAGGGUUCUGCUUAGCUCUCAUUCCUCGGUGCCUAUAUGGGGGGUUACCCACAUAUAUUAUAUUUUAUUUGAGGCAGAGUCUUGCUCUGUCACUGAGGCUGGAGUACAGUGGUGCGAUCUCAGCUCACUGCAACCAAUGCCUUCCAGGUUCAAGUGAUUCUCCUGCCUCAGCUUCCCGAGUAGUGGGAUUACAGGUAUGAGCCACCACAUUCAGAUAAUUUUUGUAUUUUUAAUAGAGACAGGGUUUCUAUUAAACUAUUUAAAAGAUUAAAGGCUGAGUGUGAGCCACCAGUGCCCGGCCUGUAAUCUUUUAUUGUGGAGAUUGGGCUUGCUAUGUUGCCCAUGUUGGUCUAUAACUCCUGGCCUCAAGUUAUCCUCCUGCCUCAGCUUCUUAAACUGCUGGGAUUACAAGUGUGAACCUGGGUACCUGGCCUCAUACUGCAGUCUUUAAAACAACAACAACAACAAGAAAAAAACAGUGGUACUUAAGCAGUCUGAGUCUUUAUUUUUCUACAAAAUUUUUAGAACUUCUUUAUGAAAUACUGGAGGCAUAUAUAGGAAGCUGUACAGAAUAUUAUAACAAAUACCCAUAUUCUGGCUGGGUGUGGUGGCUCACACCUGUAAUCCCAACACUUUGGGAGGCUGAAGCAGGGCAGAUUACUUCAGAUCAGGAGUUUGAGACCAGCCUGGCCAACAUGGUGAAACCCCAUCUCUACUAAAAAUACUAAAAUUAGCCAGGUGUCGUGCCACAUGCCUGUAGUCCCAGCUACUUGGGAGGCUGAGGUGCAAGAAUCGGUUGAGCCCGGGAGGUACAAGUUGCUGUGAGCCAAGGUUGCUCUACUGUACUCCAGCCUGGAUUGUCACAGGUCACACUGUUUUGAAACAGCAAGACUGUUUAAAAAAAAAAAAAAAAAAAAAAAGAAACAAAAAACCAAAUAACCAUAUUCUUAUCACACAGCUUUAUCAAAUCUUAAUAUUUUACAUUUGCUUCAAGUUUUCUGUUAAAAAAAUUAGUAUGUCAAAUAAAGUUGUAGCCCUUAUAUACUCCUCCCUAAUCUAAUAUCCUUUUCUUCCUCCCUCUUUACCUUUUGUCUCCAGAGGUGACCACUAUCCUAAAUUGGGAUUUAUUUUUCCUAUGCAUUAAAAAAAAUUAUAUAUAUGUGUGUGUGUGUGUGUAUAUAUAUAUAUAUAUAUAUAUAUAUAUAUAUAUAUAUAUAUAUAAUUGGCUGGGCGUGGUGACUCAUGCCUGUAAUCCCAGCACUUUGGGAAGCAGAGGCAGGUACAUCACAAGGUCAAGAGAUUGAGACCAUGCUGGCUAACUAGGUGAAACCCCGUCUGUACUAAAAAAUACAAAAAAUUAGCCAGGCAUGGUGGCACGAGCCUGUAAUCCCAGCUACUCAGGAGGCUGAGGCAGGAGAAUAGCUUGAAGGAGGUAGAGGUUGCAGUAAGCCAAGAUCUCGCCACUGCACUCCAGACUGGGGACAGAGUAAGACUCUGUCUCAAACAAACAAAAAACUAUGAUUGAGGCCGGGUGCGGUGGCUCAAGCCUGUAAUCCCAGCACUUUGGGAGCCUGAGGCGGGUGGAUCAAGAGGUCAAGAGAUCGAGACAACCCUGGUCAACAUGGUGAAACCCCGUCUCUACUAAAAAUACAAAAAAUUAGCUGGGCACGGUGGCACGUGCCUGUAAUCCCAGCUACUCAGGAGGCUGAGGCAGGAGAAUUGCCUGAACCCAGGAGGCAGAGGUUGCGGUGAGCCGAGAUCGCGCCAUUGCACUCCAGCCUGGGUAACAAGAGAGAAACUCCGUCUCAAAAAAAAAACAAAAAACAAAAAACAACUAUGAUUGACGUACAUGUAUUUCUACUGGGCUACACCUAGGAAUAGAAUUGCUGAGCUACUAGGCAUGUGUAUGUUUAGCUCCAGUAGAUAUUGCUGAUAUGUUUUCCAAAGAGCUUGUAACAGUUCAGCCUCCUACAGCAAUAUUUAAAAGGUCUAGUUUCUCCACAUCCUUGUCAAAUAUGGAUACCUAUCUUUUUAAUUUCAGCUAUUCUAAGUGUAUGCAAGGUGGUAUCUCAUUGAGACUUUAAUUGCAUUUCCCUGAUUUCUAGUGAAGUCAAGCACCUUUUUGAGUGUUAAUCCCUUAUCUUCUGUGACUUGUCUGAAGAGUGGGUCCUUGGCCCAUUUUUCCAUUUGAUUGUCUUUUUCCUAUCAAUUUGUAGCAGUUAUUUGUAUAUUCUGGAUAUGAUUCUUUUGUUGCAAAUAUGUUUUUGUACUCUGUACAAAGGCUUGCCUUUCUACUCUCUCUCUCUUCUUUAGAGACAUGGUCUUGCUCUGCCACCAGGGUGAAGUAAGUGGCAUGAUCAUAGCUCACUGUAACCUUGAACUUCUAGGGUCAAGUGAUCCUUCCACCUUAGCCUUCUGAGUAGCUAAGAGGAUAGAUGUGCACCACCAUGCCUGGAACCUUGGAACUUUUCUUUUGAGCUAUUAACAGCUUUUAACAAUUUAGUAUACUCCUAUGAAUAAAAUUUGGAGCAUAUUUAUUUCUCUCUACUUGAUUUCUCCAGGAUUUGAAAACUAUUUGACAUGAGACUUCAAAACCUGCUGAAAAUGAACUUUUGGAACCUCCCUUUCUAGAAAUAAACUAUCCUAACCAUGAGAGAUCAGAUGAAACCUAAGACCAGAUACUCAUUUUCUUCGAAAAUGCUUUCUCUAACAGAUUUUUUAAAAGAGAAGUGGGGAAAGGUGAAAGGAAAAUAUCUUGGAACCACAGAGUCACUAAGCUAAAGGAAAAAUUCUAGCUGAGAACUGCUCAGGGCAAAUCUGCCUCCCAUCUUAUUCAAAGUCAUCCCUCUGCUCACUGAAAUAGAUAUUUUGAUUGCCUCCUUUGGAAAGGUGAUCAAAAACUCAAAAUAAUGACAACAUUUUUCUCUUACCUAUCUGUGACCCAGAAGCCCCCUCCCUGCUUCAAGUUGUCCCUGCCUUUCUGGACAGAACCAAUGUACUUUUUACACAAAUUGAUUGAUGUCUCAUGUCUCCCUAAAAUAUAUAAAACCAAGCUAUGCCCCAACCACCUUGGGCACAUGUCAUCAGGACUUCCUGAGGCUCUGUCAUGGGCACAUUAUUAUGUAGGUACUUAUAUACAAGAGAGUAAACAAACUUCAACAAUUUAAAAAUUGAUAACAUUCUGGGCUGGGUAUGGUGGCUCAUGCCUCUAAGGCCAAGGCAGGUGCAUCACUUGAGUCCAGGACUUCAAGACUGGUCUGGCAAACAUGGUGAAACCCUGUCUCUACUAAAAAUACAAAAAUUAGCCGGCUGUGGUGGUGCACAUCUGUGGUUCCAGCUACUUGGGAGGCUGAGGCAGGAGAAUCACUUGAACCCAGGAGGCAGAUCUUGCAGUGAGCCAAGAUCAUGCCACUGUACUCCAGCCUGGGCAACUGAGUGAGUGAGACUCCUUCUCAAAGAAAAAUUAUGUUCUGGAUAUGGAAGCCAGGCAAUAAAUAAAAGUGGAUAAAUGAAUAGAUAACUGGGAGUGGCUUAAUGGAAACAAGAAAAUGUGAUAGAGAGUAAUGGGGACCAAAUUAGAUUGGGUGGCCAGGGAAGACAUACUGAAGAGGUAUCUGUGAGUUUAACCUGAAUGAUAAGGAGCCAGAUGGGCAAGGAUCUUGGGGCAAAUUGUGCCAGCACUGGGAAUAAUAAGUGCAGAGAUCUUAAAAGCAAGAAUGGGAACGAUCCAAGAUGGCCGAUUGCUAACAUCCCAGGAUUGCAGCUCUCAGGGAAGGCACGGAGAACUAGAGGACGCCACACUUUCAGACAAAGUCUGGUCGCUCACGAAGCAGAAGAUGCCCCAGUGGAGGAAACACACGAGUCGCCAGCGCGACUCUCGUGGUCGGCGCAGCGGUUCCGCCGGCACCUCGACGCGGCAGCCCUCGGCGCAGAGUAAACGGGACGGAUUCCCCUUCUGACCGAGGUUUGGAGCCCCGGGAAGGCAGAGUCGCUUACUACGGACACAAGAAGGAAGCCCGACAGGAGAAUCCUGGGCAGAAGAGCACCAUCAGUUUUAACGCCGCUGCUCUGGCCCUGGGAACUAACAACCUGGACGUACACUCAAGAGACCUAAUCUGAAAGUUGGUAACUUCAAAGACGACAGGAGGAUAAAUUUACAAUCAUGGGAAGAAACCAGUGUAAAAAAGCUGAGAAUACUCAAAGUCAGAACGCCUCUCCCUCUAAAGAUGAUCACAGUUCCACAUCGACAAUGGAACAAGGCUUGAUGGAGAACGAGCACCUCCUGAUGACAGAAUCACUCUUCAAGGAAUGGAUAAUAACAAACUUCGGUGAGUUAAAAGAACGUUGUAGCCCAACGUAAAGAAACUAGGAACUUUGAAAACAGGUUUGAUGAAAUCCUAUUGAGAAUAGACAACUUAGAGAGGAGUAUGAGUGAAUUAAUGGAACUGAAGAAUACAAUACAGGGACUCCGAGAAGUAUGCACAGGUUUAAACACUCGAAUUGUUCAAGCAGAAGAAAGGAUGUCAGAGGUCAAAGUCCAACUUAAUGAAAUAAAAUGUGAAGAAAAGAUUAGAGAAAAAAGGAUAAAAAGGAAUGAGCAAAGUCUCCAAGAAAUGUGGGACUAUGUGAAAAGACCAAAUUUACGUUUGAUAGGUGUACCUGAAUGCGACGGAGAGAAUGAAUCCAAGCUGGAAAAUACCCUUCAGGAUAUUAUUCAGGAAAAUUUUCCUAAACUAGCAAAGCAGGUCAACAUUCAACCCCAGGUAAUACAGAGAACACCACAAAGAUAUUCCUCAAGAAGAGCAACCCCAAGGCACAUAAUCGUUAGAUUCACCAGGGUUGAAAAGAAGGAGAGGAUACUAAGGGCAGCCAGAGAGAAAGGUCAGAUUACCCACAAAGGCAAGCCUAUCAGACUUACAGCAGAUCUCUCGGCAGAAACUCUACAGGCCAGAAGAGAGUGGGGGCCAAUAUUCAACAUCCUCAAAGAACAGAACCUUCAGCCCAGAAUUUCAUAUCUAGCCAAACUAAGCUUCACAACUGAAGGAAAAAUAAAAUCUUUUAUGAACAAGCAAGAACUCAGAGAUUUUAUUACCACCAGGCCUGCUUUACAAGAGCUUCUGAAAGAAGCAUUACACACAGAAAGAAACAACCAGUAUUAGCCUUUCUAAAAAUACACCAAAAAGUAAAGAGCACCAACAUAAACAAGAAUUUACACCAACAAAUGGAUAAAACAGCCAGUCAACAUCAAAUGGCAGUAACCCUAAAUUUAAAUUGACUAAAUUCCCAAUCAAAAGACACAGCCAAAACCCAACGGCAUGUUACAUCCAGACCUGUUUCACAUGCAAGGAUACACAAAGACUCAAAACAAAGGGAUGGAGAAAGAUUUACCAACCAAAUGGAGAACAAAAAUAAAUAAUAAAUAAAUAAAAAGCAGGAGUUGCAAUUCUCGUAUCGGAUAAAAUAGAUUUUAAAGCAACAAAGAUAUAGCGGUAAAAGGAUCAAUGCAACAACAAGAGCUAACAAUCCGAACACCCAGAUAGGAGACUUAGAUUCAAUGAGACAGAAAAUUAAUAAGGAUAUCAAGGACUCGAACUCAGAUUCAGAACAAGUAAACUUAAUAAAUAUUUAUAGAGCUCUCCACUUCAAAUACACAAAAUAUACAUUCUUGUCAAUACCACAUCACAGCUACCCAUAAGUUUAAAUGAAACAUUGAUUGGCCAUUAUUAAUACCCAAUUUUUUUCAAAAUAAAGCAAUAUUUCCAUUUA